rnacentral:ncRNA from 1 species
GAGAGCCGUAUACGGGAGACCCGCCUGUACGGUUCGGAGGUAGGGGAGAUCGAAGCCAAUCGAUCUCCCCUAUCCCUAAC